rnacentral:rRNA from 1 species
UACACUCCUGCGGGAGGCAGCAGUGGGGAAUUUUGGACAAUGGGCGAAAGCCUGAUCCAGCAAUGCCGCGUGCAGGAUGAAGGCCUUCGGGUUGUAAACUGCUUUUGUACGGAACGAAAAAGCUCCUUCUAAUACAGGGGGCCCAUGACGGUACCGUAAGAAUAAGCACCGGCUAACUACGUGCCAGCAGCCGCGGUAAUACGUAGGGUGCGAGCGUUAAUCGGAAUUACUGGGCGUAAAGCGUGCGCAGGCGGUUAUGUAAGACAGAUGUGAAAUCCCCGGGCUCAACCUGGGAACUGCAUUUGUGACUGCAUGGCUAGAGUACGGUAGAGGGGGAUGGAAUUCCGCGUGUAGCAGUGAAAUGCGUAGAUAUGCGGAGGAACACCGAUGGCGAAGGCAAUCCCCUGGACCUGUACUGACGCUCAUGCACGAAAGCGUGGGGAGCAAACAGGAUUAGAAAUCCUAGUAGUCCCAUGAU